rnacentral:rRNA from 1 species
GAAGCGGGAUGAGCUCAAAUUUGUAAUCUGGCGGUCUCUGGCCGUCCGAGUUGUAGUCUGGAGAAGCGUCUUCCGCGUUGGACCNNGUACAAGUCCCUUGGAACAGGGCGUCGUAGAGGGUGAGAAUCCCGUCUUUGACACGGACUGCCGAUGCUUUGCGAUGCGCUCUCGAAGAGUCGAGUUGUUUGGGAAUGCAGCUCAAAACGGGUGGUAAAUUCCAUCUAAAGCUAAAUAUGGGCGAAAGACCGAUAGCGAACAAGUACCGUGAGGGAAAGAUGAAAAGCACUUUGGAAAGAGAGUUAAACAGUACGUGAAAUUGUUGAAAGGGAAACGCUUGAAGUCAGUCGCGUCUCCCGGGACUCAGCCUCGCUUCUGCUUGGUGUACUUCCCGGGGCGACGGGCCAGCAUCGAUUUCGACCGUCGGAGAAAGGCCUUGGGAACGUGGCACCUUUGGGUGUGUUAUAGCCCUUGGUCGUAUGCGACGGUUGGGAUCGAGGACCGCAGCACGCCUUUUUGGCCGGGGUUCG